GGGCGAUUAGUUUAGUUGGUUUAGAACAUCUGCUUUACACGCAGAAGGUCACUGGUUCGAGCCCGGUAUCGCCCA
rnacentral:tRNA from 1 species